AUACGUAGGUGGCGAGCGUUGUCCGGAAUUACUGGGCGUAAAGGAUGCGUAGGUGGAUACUUAAGUGGGAUGUGAAAUCCCCGGGCUCAACCCGGGAACUGCAUUCCAAACUGGGUAUCUAGAGUGCAGGAGAGGAAAGCGGAAUUCCUAGUGUAGCGGUGAAAUGCGUAGAUAUUAGGAGGAACACCAGUGGCGAAGGCGGCUUUCUGGACUGUAACUGACCCUGAGGCAUGAAAGCGUGGGUAGCAAACAGGAUUAGAUACCCUGGUAGUCCACGCCGUAAACGAUGGGUACUAGGUGUAGGAGGUAUCGACCCCUUCUGUGCCGUCGUUAACACAAUAAGUACCCCGCCUGGGGAGUACGGUCGCAAGACUAAAACUCAAAGGAAUUGACGGGG
rnacentral:rRNA from 1 species